rnacentral:rRNA from 1 species
GCGAUCAUACCAGUACUAGUGCACCGAAUCCCAUCAGAACUCUGAAGUUUAGCUUGCUUGGGCAUGGGCAGUACUUGGAUGGGUGACCCCCUGGGAAGUCCUCGUGUUGCACCU